CGUGGGUAACCUGCCCAAGAGAUCGGGAUAACACCUGGAAACAGAUGCUAAUACCGGAUAACAACAGAUGAUGCCUAUCAACUGUUUAAAAGAUGGUUCUGCUAUCACUCUUGGAUGGACCUGCGGUGCAUUAGCUAGUUGGUAGGGUAACGGCCUACCAAGGCGAUGAUGCAUAGCCGAGUUGAGAGACUGAUCGGCCACAUUGGGACCGAGACACGGCCCAAACUCCUACGGGAGGCAGCAGUG
rnacentral:rRNA from 1 species